UACGGAGGGUGCAAGCGUUAUCCGGAUUCACUGGGUUUAAAGGGUGCGUAGGCGGGUAGGUAAGUCAGUGGUGAAAUCUCCAAGCUUAACUUGGAAACUGCCGUUGAUACUAUCUAUCUUGAAUAUUGUGGAGGUGAGCGGAAUAUGUCAUGUAGCGGUGAAAUGCUUAGAUAUGACAUAGAACACCAAUUGCGAAGGCAGCUCACUACGCAAUCAUUGACGCUGAGGCACGAAAGCGUGGGGAUCAAACAGGAUUAGAAACCCCCGUAGUCC
rnacentral:rRNA from 1 species